rnacentral:rRNA from 1 species
UACGUAGGUGGCAAGCGUUAUCCGGAUUUACUGGGUGUAAAGGGCGUGUAGGCGGGGACGCAAGUCAGAUGUGAAAACCACGGGCUCAACCUGUGGCCUGCAUUUGAAACUGUGUUUCUUGAGUACUGGAGAGGCAGACGGAAUUCCUAGUGUAGCGGUGAAAUGCGUAGAUAUUAGGAGGAACACCAGUGGCGAAAGCGGCUCUCUGGUCUGUAACUGACGCUGAGGUUCGAAAGCGUGGGUAGCAAACAGG